rnacentral:rasiRNA from 1 species
GAGAUGCACAACGCCGCUGAGUUU